rfam:Pteropus alecto contig35675, whole genome shotgun sequence.
GUCUAUGGCCAUGCCACCCUGAACAAACCCGAUACUGUCUGAUCUCAGAAGCUAAGCAGGGUCGGGCCUGGUUAGUACUUGGAUGGGAGACCACCUAGGAAGACCAGGUGCUGUAGGUG